rnacentral:rRNA from 1 species
UACGGAGGGUGCAAGCGUUAAUCGGAAUUACUGGGCGUAAAGCGCUCGUAGGCGGUUUGUUAAGUCGGAUGUGAAAGCCCCGGGCUCAACCUGGGAACUGCAUUCGAUACUGGCAGACUAGAGUAUAGUAGAGGCAAGUGGAAUUCCGGGUGUAGCGGUGAAAUGCGUAGAUAUCCGGAGGAACAUCAGUGGCGAAGGCGACUUGCUGGACUAAUACUGACGCUGAGGAGCGAAAGCGUGGGGAGCAAACGGGAUUAGAUACCCCAGUAGUCC